CCCGCCCGCGAGGGCUGCCCCUGCCGUUGGCCGCGCAGCCAUCCCGAACCGGUGAGCUGGAGCAGCGUGGCCGCGCGGCGGCAGACGCGAGCGGCGGGCGUCCCGCUAGGGGGCAGGCAGCGCUCACCCAACGCCUCUGCGCCGCGGGGCCCGAGCCGCCGCGGCGAGUCGUCACCCGCAGGUUUUUAUGAACUCUUAAGAGCGUAAGUGUGGGCUAUUCCGGGACAGGAAUCACAUCUUAAGGGCUGAUUGUCCACCAGGAAUUUGACUGACAGACCCCGACCACGGAGAUUGUUUGCUCUGCACCACAGCCUUUCUGCUUCGUGCUAAGGGAUAUGAGUGGGAUGGUAACAGAUGAUUCAAAGGGGCAGAUGUGACCCAAAAUCCAUGCAAAGCUUCUGCUGAAGAAGGAAUCACCUGAGGUGAAGGGCACUUUCAAGGCUCCUGAGAUCGAAAGGGGUGCAGUGAAGCUCUGCUGAUUAGCCUCCUGCUAAUUCCUCUGGAAAGGCUGUUUUUUACUAUGGAGAUUCCAAGUCUGGUUUAUUUUUUCACCAGUUUUGAGACACACAGACUCUGUGGGAUCAAGAUGUUGCUGGUUUAAGCCACAGCUGUAAUACAUCACAGCGUUCUGUCAGCACACAACGACCUGCACUGCAGUGCCAGCCAUCUCUAAGGACUGUCACAAGGAAGCUGCCAUCCUUCAGAUUCUAUCCACCACAAUUCUGGAAUUCUAGUCAGAGUUCUUUUUACCUGCCCUUUAAUAUGAUGAAUCUGC
rnacentral:lncRNA from 1 species